AUCCUUACCAGGCAGGGGAGAUACCAUAAUCACAGGAUGACCCUCCCAGGGUGAGUCUUAUCCAUUGCACUCCAGAUGUGCUGAGCUGACCCCUGAGAUUUUCCCCAAAUGCAGAAAACUUAAUUGCAUAAAA
rnacentral:snRNA from 1 species